UGUCUCCGACAUGACAAAGGCAGAACAGUUUCUCUUCACCUAAAGCAGCUGAAGGAUUUGAUUGGGGGCAGGGGAAACAGGUAAACUCUGUUCUAUUUCAGUUUAAUCACCUAUGUUCGAGAGAAUACAAACAAAGUUAAACCAUCGCCCACAGUCCUAGCUGUGGCACCUAAGUGGUAACAGGCUCAAGGGGCUGAAUGACCUUCUGUUCCUAUUUCUUAGACUUUUUAACAGCAAACAUUUGGUUAUUGACCUUGUACUCUACUCGCUAUUCUCGAUGACAGGAGCAGACUCGAUCGUGAUGCCCCUCGAGGAUCAUGAAGCUUUUAUAAUGCACAAUGUAAAUGGUUUGCCCUCUCAAGGGCAACUUAGGACAAAUUGAACUGGUGUGAAGAAAGGGAAAGGGAGUCUCAUUUACUGAUGAAGAUCCUGGAGGUCAGUUAGAGCACAGCUUCAUUCCGAGUGAAGGAACGGAGGGUGUAAAGGGGAAACAUUGAGGAGCAAGUUGUGAUGUAGAAUCAUAGAAUCCCUACAGUGUGGAAGCAGGCCAUUCGGCCCAUCAAGUCUACACUGAUCCUUCGAAGAGCAUCCCAUCCAGACCCGCCCCUCCCCUACCCUGUAGCCUUGCAUUUACCAUAGCCAGUCCACUUAACUUGCACAUCCCAGUGGGGACCCAUAUAGACACAGAGAAUGUUGCCCAAGGCUGGAAUCAAACCUGGGUCCCUCGCACUGUGAGGUAGCAGUGCUAACCACUGAGCCACCAUGCAGCCCUGAAUGCAGUCAGUGUGAAGAUAAAACUGGGGUAUUCCCAACAGCAAAUGGCAGAAACAUAGCUACCUGAAAGCAAUGGUCUUCUACAGUAGAUGAUGAAUACUUGAACAGAGAAGAGGAGAAAUGUCUUCACUCCAGAAAAUGGUAAGCCUGAGGAAUUCUUUGCCGGUUGAGGCCAAAACACUGAACGUGUUCAAGAAAAAAAGUUAGAUAUAGUUCUUGGAGCUAAAGGGAUUGAAGGGUAUGAGGAGAAAUGGGACCAGGGUUGGAUGGCAGAGCAGACUUGAAGGGCUGAAUGGCCUACUGCUGCUCCUAUUCUCUAUUUAACUGGGACUUUCUCUGUGGUGACAGGGUCCUGAAGGUGAUGAAAUAAUAAAGAAAGCGGUGGAUGAUCCGGAAAGUUUUGUGCUAAAGCCACAGCGGGAGGGAGGAGGAAAUAAUAUUUUUGGGGAAGAGCUCCGGCAGCUCCUUGGAGCCAUUAAAGAUGGACCCAAGCGAUCAGCUUAUAUCCUGAUGGAUAGAAUCAAGCCACAAACUGUGAAGAACUAUCUACUACAUCCAGGAACACCUUUGAAACUGUCAGACUGUGUGGUUGAGCUGGGCGUGUUUGGGGUCUACAUCAGGAAGUGCCGGAAGCUGGUCAUGAAUGAAAGUCCUGGCCAUCUACUUCGCACAAAGAGCACAGAGUUUGCAGAUGGAGGAGUAUCUGCUGGCGUGGCAGUUCUGGAUACACCCUAUCUUAUCUGAAUUACAGAUGGUGUCAGAACAGAAUAACAUCAUUAUUGGGGUAGAGUGCUGACAAUUCUAAAAUACAUUCCACCCACCCCACUACACCACCCCUCCCGCCAACCCCUCUGCCUCCACCUCCCACCAAAUCCUGCACCCCAGUUAAUGAAUGGACUUUCCACAAUCCACCCAGGGUGUCUUUUCCUCAAAACUGUGGGGUGGUGGGGAGUUGUGAGCAAUAAAGCUGAAUGCAUAUUUGCAAGUAAGUGAUUUAUCCAUCAUUCUUCCUUCUGAUCUUCCUUACCUAAUUUCUCAGGGAGAAACGGCGAGCUGUGUGCCAAUGCUCUGUUCCUCAGACUGCAUUCUACUCAAUCUUAGCCAUUUCUCAUCGAGUCAUACAGCACAGAAGCGCAGACCCUUCGGUCCAGCCAGUUCAUGCUGAAUGUAAUCCCAAACUAAACUAGUCCCACCUGCCUGCUCCUGGCCCACAUCUCUCCAAACCAUUCCUAUUCAUGAACUUAUCCAAGUGUAUUUUAAAUGUUGCAAUUGUGCCCAUAUCCACUACUUCCUCUGGAAGUUCAUUUCACAUGCAAGCUAUCCUCUGUGCAAAAAAAAAAUUGUCCCUCGUGUUUUUUAAAUACAUCUCCUCUCACCAUAAAAACAUGCCUCCUAGUCCUGAAAUCCCCACCCUAGGGAAAAGACCUACCAUUAACCCUAUCUAUACCCCUCAUAAUUUUAUAAACCUCUGGAAGGUCAACCCCCUGACUCCACACUGAACGAGAUCCCACCAUGCGAUUUGUUGAUAUACUGAGUACAUAACAAUGUCACUGACAUCGCUCUGUUUCUCUGUUUUCUGUUUUCUGUUGCAUGACCUAUCAGCAGACUUAAUUUAUUUUUCAGUAAAUCCCUAAUCCUCCCAGCUGGUCAUUUUCAUAAUUCUGUCCCAUUACAAUUAUUCCUUUCUUUAGAUUUACUCUCAGGCAAUGGAGUUAUCUAGUGCUGCCAGUGCUUAAGAAUUGACCUUUUAAAAUAUGGUGCUUUAAACUGAAACGAAUUUCAAUGUGUGGAAGGAGCAAUGUUGGUCGAGGGAGGAACAUAAUGGAAGAAGUGAGAUGGUCAUUUUUAGACUAAAGAACAGCUGAGGUGUCAGUUAUAUGACUUAUGGUAAUCACAUAAUAUAGUUCCACUUUGUUCCUCUCAAUGUUUGACUGCUAUCUCGUUGAUUAAAUUUGUAAAGAUGUGUUAAUUAUUCAGCUAUACAAAACUGGAUUGAGAGGUAGUCGGUUUUAGCUGGUCAUAUGCGGUUAUACCUCUGACUGCUGUUCUUCAACUCUGGUUCCUGUUCAUCAACAUAAUUCAAACAACAAUGCUGAACUAGCCACAGUAUUAAACAAGUAUGAGGCAACGUGCAACCUUUUAAAUCAUUAAUGGAAUUUUUAAAUGCAUUACUUUCUCCAGGAAGUCACAAACAGGUUUGAGUUUGAUUCUGUGGGCAGCAGUAAGCCUCUUGCUUAACCCUCACCAACCUAUUUUACAAAGUAGGAGAUUGCACUAAAACUAAUCUCGCUCUCUGCUUCGCCUCAUUCCUGCCCCCCAACCCCUUAAAAAACUUUGCAGCAAAGUUUAAUCUUGCGCUUUUAGUAUAACCAAUUCACAGCAGCAUUGGAGCAUACUGGGAUCAAGGGAAAGAAUGGCCUACUUCUAUUUUUUUUCAUGUAGAAGAGCCUCGUUCAGCCCAGUUUGCCCUUCCAGCUUUAAUUGCUUUUGAAACUUUGUACUUCCACCACCUUUUCAAGCAGCAUGUUCCAGUAACCGCUCACUCUGCUCAUCUGCCUCUGCCUGUUCCUUUAACUAUGCCUCUUGGGUUAUUGAGUAUCUUCUAGUGAAAGAAGUUUCUUACUUUUACUUUUUGUCUCUGUCACGCGCUCGCACUCUCUUUCCCCUAACUAGUGAUUUGUGAAGCUUUACCAUGACAAAUGUUGUUUUUGCAUUCUGUCUCUAUUUAUAAAGCCAUGGAUUCUGUGUGUUUUAUAUAAUAACCUUCUCAACUGAUCCUGUCAUGUUAAAGUAUUUGUAAGUUAACAUUCUCCACCCCUACCCCUAAAGUCCCUCUUUACCUGCAGCCUUUUAAAAUUGUUAGUGGAAUUUUUAAAUGCAAUAUUUUCAUCAGGAAGUUAUGAACAGUUUUGAGUUUGAUUCAGUGUGCAGCAAUAAGCUUCUAUUGCUCAACUCUAGCCAACAGAUUGUAAAAAUAAAAAGUAGGAGAUUGCCCUAAAAUGAAUCACACUGUCUCUCUGCUUCACCUCAUUCCUGCCCCACCACCCCUUUUUUUUUUUUUUAGAAAGUAGCCCUCCAGUAUAUAAACGUCAUGUGACAUAGCUAAUGGAAAUCUGCACUGUUUGAAUUUCGGUGUAUAAACAAAAAAAGUUGUUUAGUCAUAUAAAACAUGUGUUGCUUAAAGACAUUUUGUCAAGCAUUUUGUCUUGCACUUACCAGGACAAUUCACAAGAAUGCCAUUUAAAGGGGAAACAAAAUCUGCAUGAGAAAGUGACAAGUGGACCAUGGUAGAGGUGUUGCCAUGGAGAUUGCACCUCUCAAUAGUGGUUGACAGUUAACUGCCAAACUUUUUGUUUAAAAUUUAAACCAUUCAGAAUGGCUCUGCUCAGGGCUUCACCCUGGGGAAUGAACUAGGGAAUGAACUGGCUGUCACCUAUUUCAUUUGAGUUGAAAUGGGCUCUGUGUGCACUUGUUCUUUCAGUUUGCAUGUGUAUUAACACAGGUCGGGAAUCCAUUUCCAGAAACCGGGGGACCAACUUGUUUUCAGGUAAACAAUAUUUUUGGUUUUUGCUUGCACUUAACUGUUAGAUCCAUUUGAGUUGGUUUUUAGGUUCAUUCAGUUUUCAAACAUGUGGAUAAAGGAUACCUGACCUGUAUUUGUAGCUUCCAGUCAGUAGUUAACUGUCUGCCAUAAAUAAUUGGCACAUUCUCAAUGGCAAGUCUGCCAGAGUCCACUUACUCACCAGUCAACACCCGCCUCUAGUGUAGUAUAAAUGUUGGCUUUCCCUUUGAAUUGGUACUCUUGCAAAUGGUCCUUAUGAGUACAAGACUAAAAUGUUUCAACAAAAUGUGCCCUGUCUUUGGCAAUAACUAAAUAAUUUUUCUGUCAAACUCUGUUUACCAUUUGAAGUGUCUCUGACAAGAUGCCUUCCCCUGAGCAGUUAAUGGAGCUCAAACUGGAAACCUGCAGGGAUUGAGGCAGAGUCAGUGGGGUAGGCUGCAUUGUUUCAGAUUAUUACACCAAAAACAUGUUAGAUAUUUUAUAUGAAAAAUUGUUCUAGAUCUUAUUAAUAAAUACACAGUUGAUUUACAA